rnacentral:sRNA from 1 species
CUUGGUCAUUUAGAGGAAGUAAAAGUCGUAACAAGGUUUCCGUAGGUGAACCUGCGGAAGGAUCAUUACUAGAGCAAAGGAUAGACAGCGCCCGCGGAGCUUGCUCCCUGGGGCUACCCUACUUCGGUAGGGUUUAGAGUCGUCGGGCCUCUCGAAGAAGCUCGGUCCUGAACUCCACCCUUGAAUAAAUUACCUUUGUUGCUUUGGCGGGCCGCCUCGUGCCAGCGGCUUCGGCUGUUGCGUGCCCGCCAGAGGACCACAACUCUUGUUUUUAGUGAUGUCUGAGUACUAUAUAAUAGUUAAAACUUUCAACAACGGAUCUCUUGGUUCUGGCAUCGAUGAAGAACGCAGCGAAAUGCGAUAAGUAAUGUGAAUUGCAGAAUUCAGUGAAUCAUCGAAUCUUUGAACGCACAUUGCGCCCUCUGGUAUUCCGGGGGGCAUGCCUGUUCGAGCGUCAUUAUAACCACUCAAGCUCUCGCUUGGUAUUGGGGUUCGCGGUCUCGCGGCCCCUAAAAUCAGUGGCGGUGCCUGUCGGCUCUACGCGUAGUAAUACUCCUCGCGAUUGAGUCCGGUAGGUUUACUUGCCAGCAACCCCUAAUUUUUACAGGUUGACCUCGGAUCAGGUAGGGAUACCCGCUGAACUUAAGCAUAUCAAUAAGCGGAGGAAAAGAAACCAACAGGGAUUACCUCAGUAACGGCGAGUGAAGCGGUAACAGCUCAAAUUUGAAAGCUGGCUCUUUUUAGGGUCCGCGUUGUAAUUUGUAGAAGAUGCUUCGGGUGUAGCUCCGGUCUAAGUUCCUUGGAACAGGACGUCAUAGAGGGUGAGAAUCCCGUAUGUGACUGGGUGCUUUCGCUCAUGUGAAGCUCUUUCGACGAGUCGAGUUGUUUGGGAAU